AUUCUGCCCAAGCGGGGAAGGAUGAGAAGCUUCGACCAAGGUUCGACUUGAGCGCCAGCGAGAGAGCGUUGCCGCAGGC
rnacentral:sRNA from 2 species